CUAAGGGCAGAUGGUGGAUGCCUAGACCAGAAGAGGCGAUGAAGGACGUACUAGGCUGCGAUAAGCCAGGGGGAGCUGCCAAGAAGCUUUGAUCCCUGGAUUUCCGAAUGGGGCAACCCAACAUGUAGCGAUGCAUGUUACUCUUUCGAGAGAGCGAACGUAGGGAAGUGAAACAUCUCAGUACCUACAGGAAAAGAAAUCAACCGAGAUUCCCAAAGUAGUGGCGAACGAAAUGGGAACAGCCCUAAACGCUAUAGGGUGUUAGUAGAAUUAGCUGGAAUGCUAGACCGUAGAGGGUGAAAGUCCCGUAAAUAAAAACUAACUAUAGCUUAUACGAGUAGGUCGGGACACGAGAAAUCCUGACUGAAUAUGGGAGGACCACCUUCCAAGGCUAAAUACUACUCCAGGAUCGAUAGUGAACCAGUACCGUGAGGGAAAGGUGAAAAGAACCGCGGCAAGCGGAGUGAAAUAGAACCUGAAACCAUCUGCCUACAAUCAUUCAGAGCCCUAUGCUAUACGCAGGGUGAUGGACUGCCUUUUGCAUAAUGAGCCUGCGAGUUAUGGUGACUAGCAAGGUUAAUCAAACGAGAAGCCGUAGCGAAAGCGAGUCUUAAUAGGGCGAUAGUUAGUUGCUGUAGACCCGAAACUAAGUGAUCUAUCCAUGGGCAGGUUGAAGCUGGUGUAAGAGCUAGUGGAGGACCGAACGGGUGAAGGUUUAAAACUUCUCCGAUGACCUGUGGAUAGGGGUGAAAGGCCAAUCAAACUUAGUGAUAGCUGGUUCUCUCCGAAAUAUAUUUAGGUAUAGCGUCAUGUUCGAAACAUGAGGGGGUAGAGCACUGAUUGGGCUAGGGCCUAUACCAAGGUACCAAACCCAGUCAAACUCCGAAUACCUCAUGUGAAUUCAUGGCAGUCAGGCAUAGGGUGAUAAAAUCCUAGGUCGAAAGGGAAACAGCCCAGACUACCAGCUAAGGUCCCAAAGUUCUAUUUAAGUGGAAAAGGAUGUGGAGUUGCUUAGACAACCAGGAGGUUGGCUUAGAAGCAGCCAUCCUUUAAAGAAAGCGUAACAGCUCACUGGUCUAGCGAUUCUGCGCCGAAAAUAUAACGGGGCUAAGAUAAACACCGAAGCUUUAGAUUUGGUAUAACUAACAAGUGGUAGGAGAGCGUUCCAUUCAGCGCUGAAGGUAUACCGGUAAGGAGUACUGGAGCGGAUGGAAGUGAGCAUGCAGGCAUGAGUAGCGAGAAAAGAAGUGAGAAUCUUCUUCGCCGUAAACCCAAGGUUUCCUACGCGAUGCUCGUCAUCGUAGGGUUAGUCGGGACCUAAGUCGAGUCCGAAAGGGGUAGACGAUGGCAAAUCGGUUAAUAUUCCGAUACCGACAUUACAUCAUUUGAGUGAUGGGGGGACGCAUAGAGUUAGACGAGGUCACUGAUGGAAUAGUGGCUCGAAGGAAGUAGGUUGAGAAGUAGGAAAAUCCGCUUCUCAUGAAACCGAGAUCUUACAGGCUGAACAAUCUCUUCGGAGAGCGUUUAGAAUCGUCGAUACUGUCGUGCCGAGAAAAGCCUCUAAACGAGAUGUAAUGUUGCCCGUACCGUAAACCAACACAGGUGGGUGAGAUGAGUAUUCUAAGGCGCGUGGAUGAACCAUUGUUAAGGAACUCUGCAAACUAGCACCGUAUCUUCGGUAUAAGGUGUGCCCUAUUUGUUAGGAGAUUUACUCUCCAAAGCAAUGACGGGUCGCAGCAAAGUGUCCCUCCCGACUGUUUACCAAAAACACAGCACUCUGCUAACUCGUAAGAGGAUGUAUAGGGUGUGACGCCUGCCCGGUGCUCGAAGGUUAAAAGGAUUGCUUAGCAUUAGCGAAGGCAUGAAUUGAAGCCCGAGUAAACGGCGGCCGUAACUAUAACGGUCCUAAGGUAGCGAAAUUCCUUGUCGGUUAAAUACCGACCUGCAUGAAUGGCGUAACGAGAUGGGAGCUGUCUCAACCAGGGAUCCAGUGAAAUUGUAGUGGAGGUGAAAAUUCCUCCUACCCGCGGAAAGACGGAAAGACCCCGUGCACCUUUACUAUAGCUUGACACUGCUAUUGGGAUAUUCAUGUGCAGGAUAGGUGGGAGCCUUUGAUUCAUAGUCGCCAGAUUAUGAUGAGGCAUCCUUGAGAUACCACCCUUGAAUAUUCUGAUAGCUAACUCCGUACAAUUAUCUUGUGCGAGGACAAUGUCUGGUGGGUAGUUUGACUGGGGCGGUCGCCUCCUAAAAAGUAACGGAGGCUUACAAAGGUUGGCUCAGAGGGGUUGGAAAUCCCUCGUAGAGUAUAAUGGCAUAAGCUAGCCUGACUGUAAGACAUACAAGUCGAGCAGAGUCGAAAGACGGUCAUAGUGAUCCGGUGGUUCUGUGUGGAAGGGCCAUCGCUCAAAGGAUAAAAGGUACGCCGGGGAUAACAGGCUGAUCUCCCCCAAGAGCUCACAUCGACGGGGAGGUUUGGCACCUCGAUGUCGGCUCAUCGCAUCCUGGGGCUGAAGCAGGUCCCAAGGGUAUGGCUGUUCGCCAUUUAAAGCGGUACGCGAGCUGGGUUCAGAACGUCGUGAGACAGUUCGGUCCCUAUCUGCCGCGGGCGCAGGAGAUCUGAGGAGGUCUGCCCUUAGUACGAGAGGACCGGGGUGGACAGACCUCUGGUGAUCCGGUUGUUCCGCCAGGAGCAUUGCCGGGUAGCUACGUCUGGAACGGAUAACCGCUGAAAGCAUCUAAGCGGGAAGCCGGCUCCAAGAGCGAUCUCCCGGACCAUUAGGUCCCCAAAGGCCGCAGGAAGAUUACCUGUUUGAUAGGCCGGAAGUGGAAGCAUGGCAACAUGUGAAGCUGACUGGUACUAAUUGGCCGGGCGACCUGACU
rnacentral:rRNA from 1 species